AUUGAACGCUGGCGGCAUGCUUUACACAUGCAAGUCGAACGGCAGCACGGGUGCUUGCACCUGGUGGCGAGUGGCGGACGGGUGAGUAAUGCAUCGGAACGUGUCCUGAAGUGGGGGAUAACGCAUCGAAAGAUGUGCUAAUACCGCAUAUUCUCUGAGGAGGAAAGUAGGGGAUCGAAAGACCUUAUGCUUUUGGAGCGGCCGAUGUCUGAUUAGCUAGUUGGUAGGGUAAUGGCUUACCAAGGCGACGAUCAGUAGUUGGUCUGAGAGGACGACCAGCCACACUGGGACUGAGACACGGCCCAGACUCCUACGGGAGGCAGCAGUGGGGAAUUUUGGACAAUGGGCGCAAGCCUGAUCCAGCAAUGCCGCGUGAGUGAAGAAGGCCUUCGGGUUGUAAAGGACUCUUUCAGUUGAGAGAAAAAGUACGUAGACUAAUAAUACAUGAUUCAUGACGGUAUCAACAGAAGAAGACACCGGC
rnacentral:rRNA from 1 species